rnacentral:tRNA from 1 species
CGCAGAAUGGAGCAGUUGGUAGCUCGCUACCCUCAUACGGUAGAGGUCGCAGGUUCAAGUCCUGCUUCUGCAA